ACCUGAGCUGCUGAUGCUUACCGGAAAGGAGAGGGGAAGAGGCAAGGCAGUGGGCAAGUCAGCACAGUGCAAAUGCACUGAUGCUCCUGCUAGUGCAUUUGCACUGUACUGACCUGCCUGCCACCUCACCCCUCCUCCUCCCCUUCCUGGUAUGGGGGCAGGAACUCAGC